GGAGCUGAAGGAAAAGUGGUCGAUCCGCCUGCCUGUCACGCAGGAGAUAGCGAGUUCAAAUCUCGUCAGUUCCGCCA
rnacentral:tRNA from 1 species